rnacentral:rRNA from 1 species
UAAGAUGAGAGUUUGAUCCUGGCUCAGGACGAACGCUGGCGGCAUGCCUAAUACAUGCAAGUCGAACGAGCUUCCGUUGAAUGACGUGCUUGCACUGAUUUCAACAAUGAAGCGAGUGGCGAACUGGUGAGUAACACGUGGGAAAUCUG